GGGGAUGCAGUGGCUUAGACUGACUGCAAGAUUUACAAGAGCAAGUCAAAGUGUUGGAUCUUUGUUAAAAGCCAACAAAACUAUAAGUGCAGAAAACGAAGUAGCACUUCAGCCAGCGUUCGCAGAAUACGCUUACGCAGCCGCUUAAUUUUUUAAGCGAUAUGGCGAUCCUUUAGUUUUUACCUGAAAGGGCUAAAAGGGUCUUAUAAAAUCAGGUUGCGGAUAUUUAGUCUGACGAACUAACUUUCCAAAAGGGCAAACCUUAAACCUAGUCUAUAGAAAGAGUUCUAGAGCGUGAGAUAGCUAGCUUUCUAAAAAUCUAUCUUGCUAAACUUGGGAUGCUUAAUGCCUCCCAGCGCCGGCUUUGCCUGCGUUGUAAACUUUUGUACUUUGCGCUUUCAGGACGGGGGUUCGAUUCCCCCCAUCUCCACCA
rnacentral:tmRNA from 1 species